rnacentral:rRNA from 1 species
GACGAACGCUGGCGGCGUGCUUAACACAUGCAAGUCGAACGGAGUGGCGAACGGGUGAGUAACACGUGGGUGACCUGCCCUGCACUUCGGGAUAAGCCUGGGAAACUGGGUCUAAUACCGGAUAGUGUGGGAUGGGCCCGCGGCCUAUCAGCUUGUUGGUGGGGUAAUGGCCUACCAAGGCGGCGACGGGUAGCCGGCCUGAGAGGGUGGACGGCCACAUUGGGACUGAGACACGGCCCAGACUCCUACGGGAGGCAGCAGUGGGGAAUAUUGCACAAUGGGCGGAAGCCUGAUGCAGCGACGCCGCGUGGGGGAUGACGGCCUUCGGGUUGUAAACUCCUUUCACCAUCGACGCGGUAGAUGGAGAAGAAGCACCGGCUAACUACGUGCCAGCAGCCGCGGUAAUAC